GUUAGAAUGUUUGUUGAAGAACAGCUAGGAGGCAGUGUAGCUGGAGGGGAUGAAGCUAAGGGGAUACUUGUAGGAUAUGAAGUCACACAGUUGAUGACACAAGUGGGGCCAGAUAUGUCAAGCUUUCCAAGACAUUUCGAAAACCGUUACUCUGAGUAAAAUGGGAGCCAUUGCAGAGUUUCAGGCAGGACUUGGACUGGCCCUGAUCAGGUUUGGCCCCAUGACAGGAAGACUGAAGUUCCAGCCCCCUCCCUUGUGACCUUUGGAUGCUUCACAGUCCAGCUCUGAACCUGCUUUCAAAUGGAGAAAGUCUGCCAUACUCUCUGGAACAGAGAGAGAGAGACAGAGAAAGAGAGAAAGAAAGAAAGAAAACCAGUUCCAGCUCUCCCUCCCUGUGUGGUCCAGGCCGCAAACACCUGGUUCAGGGACUACCUUGCGAAAGGAAAAGCCAAUUUACCAUUAAACAUUCAAUAAAGAAAAGACAACAAAGAAAAUCCUCUUGUAAUCACAUUGCAUGCUCAAGACACCUUUCAUGAAGAGAAAUGCAAUCACAGUGGAACAGUGGGCUGGGAUACCAAACAAAAGCUUGAAAUGUGAAAAAGGAAAAAAAAUCUAUCUUGUCAGCACAUCAGCAAAAUUGGAUAAAAGUUGCCGUAUAGUGACAGGUAGAAAACUUGGAGUGUAAAUGAAAGACAAAACAUCAGCUCCAGUGACGGGAGAAGUAGACUAAUCUUUGUGAACACCUACUUCGCGUCUGCAUGUUAUCUACGCUGUCCUUCCAAAUUCUACCAACAAGACGCUAUUAUUCCUGUUUUCUAGACAACAACACUGAUACUUAUGGAGGCGAAAUUCUUGCUUGAAAUGACUGCAGUUAACGAUGGCAGAUUCCACUUUUGAAACCUUGUCUAUCUGACUCCCACUCUACGUUCUUUCCACUAUGAUGUAUUGCCUCCAUGGGAACUAAUAGUCAUUCUGGUCUUAUGGGGCAACCAGCAAUAGCUACAAGACAUAUAGCAGGAGCAUGCUCAGAAGAUGGAAACCUUCUUCUCAGAUGACCUCGAGCUGUCUAAGAACCAAAAAUUCCCAAACUACAGAACUCAAUGUAAAGAGAAAGCAGAACAGGGAAUCUAAUAAGAAACGAGGGGCCCCUUGCUUUGUAGCACAUCAGACUUAUAAGACUGUUACACUCUCAUCCCCCAAUCAGAUUCCACCAAGUUAACAUUUGUAUAACCACUCCCACUCCCAACUCCUUAAAAGUCUGUCCCUGCUCAGCUUGGGGAGAUAGACUUGAGCCUUGCCUCCUGUCUCUUUGCAGGUCCACCAUGCAAUAAAGCUCUUUCAUCUCUCAAAAGCUA
rnacentral:lncRNA from 1 species